GAUGAAGAACGUAGUGAAAUGCGAUAAGUAAUGUGAAUUGCAGAAUUCAGUGAAUCAUCGAAUCUUUGAACGCACAUUGCGCCCGCCAGUAUUCUGGCGGGCAUGCCUGUUCGAGCGUCAUUUCAACCAUCAAGCCCCCGGCUUGUGUUGGGGACCUGCGGCUGCCGCAGGCCCCGAAAAGCAGUGGCGGGCUCGCUGUCACACCGAGCGUAGUAGCAUACAUCUCGCUCUGGGCGUGCUGCGGGUUCCGGCCGUUAAACCACCUUCAUAACCCAAGGUUGACCUCGGAUCAGGUAGGAAGACCCGCUGAACUUAAGCAUAUCAAUAAGCGGAGGA
rnacentral:misc_RNA from 1 species